AUUGAACGCUGGCGGCAUGCUUUACACAUGCAAGUCGAACGGCAGCGCGGGCUUCGGCCUGGCGGCGAGUGGCGAACGGGUGAGUAAUGCAUCGGAACGUGCCCAGUAGUGGGGGAUAGCCCGGCGAAAGCCGGAUUAAUACCGCAUACGACCUGAGGGUGAAAGCGGGGGACCGAAAGGCCUCGCGCUAUUGGAGCGGCCGAUGUCGGAUUAGCUAGUUGGUGGGGUAAAGGCUUACCAAGGCGACGAUCCGUAGCUGGUCUGAGAGGACGACCAGCCACACUGGGACUGAGACACGGCCCAGACUCCUACGGGAGGCAGCAGUGGGGAAUUUUGGACAAUGGGGGCAACCCUGAUCCAGCCAUGCCGCGUGCGGGAAGAAGGCCUUCGGGUUGUAAACCGCUUUUGUUCGGGAAGAAAUCCUAUGGGCUAAUACCCCGGGGGGAUGACGGUACCGGAAGAAUAAGCACCGGCUAACUACGUG
rnacentral:rRNA from 1 species